UUAGGACGCGAGUAGAAGACUUGUUUGAUGGGGUAGGGAUGUAAGCUUCGAGGUUUUUUUUCCGAGUUGUUGAGUCCGCUGCUUCCAACUGUUCGCUUGCAUUAUUUU
rnacentral:rRNA from 1 species